rnacentral:lncRNA from 1 species
ACCAACUUCCANGCUGCUGUGUGCGAAAGCCAAGGCUUCCCUUUUUCCUUGCCCUUCCCUCCAGCCCGGAAAUGGUUCCCCUUCGCCCCACCUCCACUUCCCUCCGCGUCUUGGAGACAGGCUGCUGGCAGCAGCGGUCGGACUCGCCCCGCCGUGGCGGCAGCGCACAGCGAGCGGCGGAGGAUGGCCACUGCCCGCCUGUGUCCUCCACGUGUUCUUCCACCAGUACCAAGGUAAAAUGAAUGAAUGAACUGUGAAAAUUGGCAGGCCAAGAAAGUUAAUGUGAAGUAUAGAAAUCUUUGAAAUGGCCUGAGGAUCCAUGAGUUUCUGUCUGUCUAUAUGUGAAAGGCAUACUGGAGUAUAUUUUAACACCUUUGAUUACCAUCAGAUCCAAAAUUAACAGUAUUCUUUCUUUUUCUUCCUGUAAUUCUUUUUCAUCUUGAUUUGGGGAAAAAAACCCCUUUGCUUUGAAGUGAAAACCAAGGUAUGUCAGUAUAUUGUUUUAUACAAUAUUCCUUCUCAUUCAUUUAGUAAGAGCGCUGUUAUUUUAACUUACCAGAUGUAAUUAUUUCUUGAGCAUUUAUCAAUGAACUAAGUUUUCAAAAAUCACAGUGUUUGUCUUAGAAAGAGAAGCUGGUUUUUCAAUCAUUGCGUGGUUUUUUUUUUCGUGUGUCCCUAAGUUGUCCAGGAACAGGAAAAGUGCAUAAUUCCACAAUAAUAUAACAGCAGAUGUUUCAGUAGUAGUAAUAAUGAAAUCUUAGAUUUAUUUGAAAACAUCUAGCUAAAACACUGGGAUUAUCUAUCAGCUAGAAUAGCAGUGAUCCAUGGAUCUAGCUGCAAGUUUCACUUUUAUUCUACUAAACUGGGUCUUGAUUUACUGUGGACCAGAGUGUAGCAUGGAAAAUCAAAUUGGACCUUCAUUCUCCCCCCCCCCCUUGCCCUUGUGAUCCUUAUCCCAUGGUGAUGGCAUGUGUGAAAUGCUUCACACAAUUGGAACCAUUAUGUGCAUGUGUUGUAGCAUUUUAUUUCUUUGUGUUAACUAAAUAGUUUAUUGUACUUCUCCCAGAUGAAAUUCCUGCUGAUCGUCAAAAAAAGAAAAAGGGAAAGGGAAAAAAUUCAUUAGGUAAGUGAUCAAGAACCUGAGGAAGCUCUCUUAUGAGGUUUCAACAUGAGUUACAACAUUAGGGUUUUUUGAUUUAGAUAGUAG